UACGAAGGGGGCUAGCGUUGCUCGGAAUCACUGGGCGUAAAGGGUGCGUAGGCGGGUCUUUAAGUCAGGGGCGAAAUCCUGGAGCUCAACUCCAGAACUGCCUUUGAUACUGAAGAUCUUGAGUGCGGGAGAGGUGAGUGGAACUGCGAGUGUAGAGGUGAAAUUCGUAGAUAUUCGCAAGAACACCAGUGGCGAAGGCGGCUCGCUGGCCCGAUACUGACGCUGAGGCACGAAAGCGUGGGGAGCAAACAGG
rnacentral:rRNA from 1 species